CUCCUCCUCCUCCAGGAAGCGCGCCCCGACUGACUAGACGGACCUCCGUGCAUUCCCCGGGCUACGCCCUCGCCCGCUGAGACGGCGCUCUCCGAGCUCGGCUGCUUUGGGUUUUCGCUGCGAGCCUCGCCAACUUAUCUGCCAGCCUCUUCACGUCCUCGGCCUUCUAUGAGGUCAAGGUCAUGGUUCGCCCCCUUUUUCCUUCCCCAAAUGGCCCUUGCGCCCUGUCCCCUUUCCUGGACCGGCUGCGACCCGCCCGGGGACGCGCCUUUUCGGGGCGCUUAGUCUCCUGCGAGUAGGGCGUGUGCGCGUGUGGGUGCGCGUGCUGCGAUGCGAUCCGGCAAAUGCAGCUGACGAACCCCUGGCCUGAUCCACGGUGGCUCCCAGUAGAAGGCUCUACAGCCCUUGGAAACGGAACACGCAGCUCCGUAAAGCGCUAACCAACCUCCCGACCCCUCCGGCCGCCAUCGCUUUCCGGCUCAGCCGCGCUGGGACGGAGUCCUCGGCCACUGUGCCCUAACCAUGGUAGAGGAACGGGGACAGGCCGGGGCAAGCCCACCUCUGCGAAGGAAGGGCUUCUGGCGCGUUGGGGAAGCCUCAUGCAUAGAUUGGGUGAGUAAGGCUGGCCCAGUUCUCCUCCCGGCAAGAUAAGAACGCAUUAGGAGGGAAGCGCUGGAGUGCUCCUCUUGGCGACGGAUGGCCUGGGGCUCUGCGACAGACUGAGUACCCCACCCUCCCCCAGCGCGACUCCAGGAGGCCUUGUGGAAGAUCCCAACACCAUGACCUGCAACUGACUUGGGGCUGGCCACAUAGUAUUUUAGCAGGGGUGACUCUGGAGAGACACCAGGUCAUCCUGCGCACCCCUUGGGACCUUUCCUAGACGCCCUCCAGCUAGAGCUCCAGUCCAGGCACUGACUCCCGGGUGGCGGGUGGAGGCUGAGGAAGAGCUGAAGGACACAGGCGGAUGUCGCCCCCGGAGCAUGGCUGCAUAGGUGGC
rnacentral:lncRNA from 1 species